rnacentral:rRNA from 1 species
UGACCUCGAAUCAGUAGAAACGAGUUUU